GAAGAAGUCGAAGAAACCAUACAUAAAAAUGGACAAGAGCUCCAGUGUGAAGGUUGAGAUCCGAAGCAGGAAAGCGAGACAGCUAAUUGACAAGACUCUCAAAGUAGCUGAUCGUCCUGGCAAGGGAAGCAUUUCCUGAUUUCUUUCUUCUUUAAAUUUCUCUCUUCUUCUGUAAUUUCUCUGUAUAUAAAAAUUAAAGCUGGAUUAAUUAUUCAGAGUUUUCUCCCUUGUUUUCUAAGUGCCUGCCGAUUCUGUGUUGUUAUCUUUCUUUAUUGGGAAAGCUUUGAAGGGUGAUUGAAUUGAACCGUUUCGGAUUUGGCUUAGCA
rnacentral:misc_RNA from 1 species